rnacentral:rRNA from 1 species
UGGGGAAUUUUGGACAAUGGGCGCAAGCCUGAUCCAGCAAUGCCGCGUGCAGGAUGAAGGCCUUCGGGUUGUAAACUGCUUUUGUACGGAACGAAAAAGCUCUCUCUAAUGCAGGGGGUGAAUGACGGUACCGUAAGAAUAAGCACCGGCUAACUACGUGCCAGCAGCCGCGGUAAUACGUAGGGUGCAAGCGUUAAUCGGAAUUACUGGGCGUAAAGCGUGCGCAGGCGGUUUUGUAAGACAGAGGUGAAAUCCCCGGGCUCAACCUGGGAACUGCCUUUGUGACUGCAAAGCUGGAGUGCGGCAGAGGGGGAUGGAAUUCCGCGUGUAGCAGUGAAAUGCGUAGAUAUGCGGAGGAACACCGAUGGCGAAGGCAAUCCCCUGGGCCUGCACUGACGCUCAUGCACGAAAGCGUGGGGAGCAAACA